rnacentral:rRNA from 1 species
UACGGAGGGUGCAAGCGUUGCUCGGAAUUAUUGGGCGUAAAGGGUAGGUAGGUGGUUUUAUUAGUUUGGAGUGAAAUCCUUGGGCUUAACCUAAGAAGGGCUUCAAAGACGGUAAGACUAGAGUUCUAGAGAGGGUUGUGGAAUUUCCGGUGUAGCGGUGAAAUGCGUAGAGAUCGGAAGGAACACCAGAGGCGAAGGCGACAAUCUGGAUAGGGACUGACACUGAGCUACGAAAGCAUGGGGAGCAAACAGG